AUACGUAGGUGGCAAGCGCUGUCCGGAAUUAUUGGGCGUAAAGCGCGCGCAGGUGGUUCCUUAAGUCUGAUGUGAAAGCCCCCGGCUCAACCGGGGAGGGUCAUUGGAAACUGGGGAACUUGAGUGCAGAAGAGGAUAGUGGAAUUCCAAGUGUAGCGGUGAAAUGCGUAGAGAUUUGGAGGAACACCAGUGGCGAAGGCGACUGUCUGGUCUGUAACUGACACUGAGGCGCGAAAGCGUGGGGAGCAAACAGGAUUAGAUACCCUGGUAGUCCACGCCGUAAACGAUGAGUGCUAAGUGUUGGGGGGUUUCCGCCCCUCAGUGCUGCAGCUAACGCAUUAAGCACUCCGCCUGGGGAGUACGGUCGCAAGACUGAAACUCAAAGGAAUUGACGGGG
rnacentral:rRNA from 1 species